rnacentral:rRNA from 1 species
UACGUAGGGUGCGAGCGUUGUCCGGAAUUAUUGGGCGUAAAGGGCUCGUAGGCGGCCUUCUAAGUCGAACGUGAAAUCCCCGGGCUCAACCCGGGAACUGCGUCCGAUACUGGAAGGCUUGAAUCCGGGAGAGGGAUGCGGAAUUCCAGGUGUAGCGGUGAAAUGCGUAGAUAUCAUGAGGAAUACCAGAGGCGAAGGCGGCUACCUGGACAAUUGCUGACGCUCAGGCACGAAAGCGUGGGGAGCAAAAGGG